CCUACGGGUGGCAGCAGUGGGGAAUAUUGCACAAUGGGGGCAACCCUGAUGCAGCGACGCCGCGUGAAUGAAGAAUUAAUUCGUUAUGUAAAGCUCUUUCAGCAGGGAAGAAAAUGACGGUACCUGAGUAAUAAGCCCCGGCUAACUUCGUUCCAGCAGCCGCGGUAAUACGUAGGGGGCAAGCGUUAUCCGGAUUUACUGGGUGUAAAGGGAGCGUAGACGGGUGUGCAAGUCUGGAGUGAAAGGUGGGGGCUCAACCGCAAGAUUGCAAUGGAAACUGUAAGGCUGGAGUACAGGUGAGGUAAGUGGAAUUCGUGGUGUAGCGGUGAAAUGCGUAGAUAUUAGGAAGAACACCAGUGGCGAAGGCGGCUUACUGAACUGUCACUGACAUUGAGGCUCGAAAGCGUGGGGAGCAAACAGGAUUAGAUACCCGAGUAGUC
rnacentral:rRNA from 1 species